rnacentral:rRNA from 1 species
GACGAACGCUGGCGGCGUGCUUAACACAUGCAAGUCGAGCGGAGCGGCGAACGGGUGAGUAACGCGUGAGUAACUGCCCCCCUCUCUGGGAUAACAGUUGGAAACGGCUGCUAAUACCGGAUAGUGGGGGAUGACUCGCGUCCGGUCAGCUUGUUGGUGGGGUAGUGGCCUACCAAGGCGACGACGGGUAGCCGGCCUGAGAGGGCGACCGGCCACAUUGGGCUGAGAUAGGGCCCGAACUCCUACGGGAGGCAGCAGUGGGGAAUGUUGUACAAUGGGGGAAACCCUGAUGCAGCAACGCCGCGUGCGGGAUGACGGCCUUCGGGUUGUAGACCGCUUUCAGCCAUGACGCGGUAGUAGCAGAAGAAGCACCGGCUAACUACGUGCCAGCAGCCGCGGUAAUUC